GCCAGGCGCAGUGGCACGUGCCUGUAGUCCCAGCUACUCGGGAGGCUGCGGUGGGAGGAUCACUUGAGCCCAGGAGUUCUGGGCUGUAGUGCGCUAUGCCGAUCGGGUGUCCACACUAAGUUCAGAAUCAAUAUGGUGACCUCCCAGGAGCGGGGACCACCAGGUUGCCUAAGGAGCGGUGAGCCAGCCCAGGUUUUGACAGAGCAGGUCAAAACUUCUGUGCUGAUCAGUAGUGGGAUCUCACCUGUGAAUAGCCACUGCUCUCCAGCCUGGGCAACAGAGCAAGANNNNNNNNNN
rnacentral:SRP_RNA from 1 species